rnacentral:rRNA from 1 species
GGAGUGGGGGGUGCUUACCAUGCAGUCGAACGAUGAUGCCCAGCUUGCUGGGUGGAUUAGUGGCGAACGGGUGAGUAACACGUGAGUAACCUGCCCCUGACUCUGGGAUAAGCGUUGGAAACGACGUCUAAUACUGGAUAUGACUGCCGGCCGCAUGGUCUGGUGGUGGAAAGAUUUUUUGGUUGGGGAUGGACUCGCGGCCUAUCAGCUUGUUGGUGAGGUAAUGGCUCACCAAGGCGACGACGGGUAGCCGGCCUGAGAGGGUGACCGGCCACACUGGGACUGAGACACGGCCCAGACUCCUACGGGAGGCAGCAGUGGGGAAUAUUGCACAAUGGGCGAAAGCCUGAUGCAGCAACGCCGCGUGAGGGAUGACGGCCUUCGGGUUGUAAACCUCUUUUAGUAGGGAAGAAGCGUAAGUGACGGUACCUGCAGAAAAAGCACCGGCUAACUACGUGCCAGCAGCCGCGGUAAUACGUAGGGUGCAAGCGUUGUCCGGAAUUAUUGGGCGUAAAGAGCUCGUAGGCGGUUUGUCGCGUCUGCUGUGAAAUCCCGAGGCUCAACCUCGGGCUUGCAGUGGGUACGGGCAGACUAGAGUGCGGUAGGGGAGAUUGGAAUUCCUGGUGUAGCGGUGGAAUGCGCAGAUAUCAGGAGGAACACCGAUGGCGAAGGCAGAUCUCUGGGCCGUAACUGACGCUGAGGAGCGAAAGCGUGGGGAGCGAACAGGAUUAGAUACCCUGGUAGUCCACGCCGUAAACGUUGGGCGCUAGAUGUAGGGACCUUUCCACGGUUUCUGUGUCGUAGCUAACGCAUUAAGCGCCCCGCCUGGGGAGUACGGCCGCAAGGCUAAAACUCAAAGGAAUUGACGGGGGCCCGCACAAGCGGCGGAGCAUGCGGAUUAAUUCGAUGCAACGCGAAGAACCUUACCAAGGCUUGACAUACACCGGAAACGGCCAGAGAUGGUUUGCCCCCUUGUGGUCGGUGUACAGGUGGUGCAUGGUUGUCGUCAGCUCGUGUCGUGAGAUGUUGGGUUAAGUCCCGCAACGAGCGCAACCCUCGUUCUAUGUUGCCAGCGCGUUAUGGCGGGGACUCAUAGGAGACUGCCGGGGUCAACUCGGAGGAAGGUGGGGAUGACGUCAAAUCAUCAUGCCCCUUAUGUCUUGGGCUUCACGCAUGCUACAAUGGCCGGUACAAAGGGCUGCGAUACCGUAAGGUGGAGCGAAUCCCAAAAAGCCGGUCUCAGUUCGGAUUGAGGUCUGCAACUCGACCUCAUGAAGUCGGAGUCGCUAGUAAUCGCAGAUCAGCAACGCUGCGGUGAAUACGUUCCCGGGCCUUGUACACACCGCCCGUCAAGUCAUGAAAGUCGGUAACACCCGAAGCCGGUGGCCUAACCCUUGUGGAAGGAGCCGUCGAAGUGAUCCUU